UGCAGCAAGCUGGCAGCAUGGCCGCAAGUGGUUAGAGCCAAGGGAGAGGGAGGAGUUUCCUUAUUGCUUCCUUUGUGCUGUUUAUAUCCGACUGGAUCUAGUGCUUCUGUCCUGAAACACAGAGGAUGUGGUGGGGUGUGCAGGGGAAAAAGCGCUUGUGGAAGCGGGUAGGAAAUGAUGUCCUAAACCAGGCUGGAGCUCAGCUCAGCUGGGAGAUGGGGAACAAUUCUUAGGGCCAGAUUUGGUCUAAUUAUUCCUUGCCUGGAACUAGGCAGCACUGGGGCUGAGCCGCUCCUCAGGUGCCUGUUUUCCAUCAGCAGAACUGAACUGACUUCAGGCCAGCAAGUCCUGACUUCCACCGGUGUAAUUCUCAGAGGUAGGUCAGGUUUACUUAGGGAUGACUCAAUGCUUCGUGCUUUGGUUUUCUAUUUGGAGAAGAGGGAGAAGAUUGUCACAGGUAGAGAGGUAUCAGGGUCAAUGAUGGGGGACAUGAAAUCCAUCCUAGCUAGUGGAUGCAGAACAAACUUUCAGAGAAAGAGAUGCAUCUGACAUCUUUAGAAAACCCAUAGCCAGGCUGGGUUCACUUUCCCCACCCAUAGAAAGCUACAAAAUCCCAAAUCUACAGGGAAAGGACCUGGUGGAGCAGGCAUCCAGUUCUUGCUGAACACAGUAAGAAGAGGAGCUAGAGAUGUUGGGAAGUUCCCAUGGGAGGCUGAGCUCAACUGCUGCUGUAACAACAGCGUUUGGGGUUUCCCACACUGGAUCCACACGUGAUGCAGAUGUGGACUGAGUCAGAGACCAGCAGUGAGUUAUUCUUGAUCUCUGACAAGCCAAAGCUGUGCAUGAGCAUGGGAACCUGUCCCAAACUGAGUUGCAGGAGGGCAGUGAACAAGGUGCAGUCAGUGGAAGACACCAGUUGCAAGACGUGUUCAUGCCCCCCAUUGCUGGCAGGGGCAGGAAGGGCAGGAGGAGGCUGGAAAGCGUGUGUGCAGGAUGCCUCUGAGCAGCGGGUUAAAAAUACUCAACAGAGGCAAGAACAGGAAGGAAGCAGGGGUUAAGCCCGAACAAGCAUCUUCCUCCCAAGCAGAGCUUUUCAAACCCAGAGGGAAGUUUCUACUUUAACAGCUAGGCUGGAAGAUGGGGUGUGAAGGGCAGGACUCCAGUUAAACCAGUUUGUUCCUCACCAGCCCAAGGCACACGGACCCUACUCGCACUGCUCGGGUAGGGGUUGAUGCUGCUCUGAGCAGAGGUGCUCUAACACAGGAAGAGAAAUGUUUCUAACAGCCUGCUGUGGUGAUGCUUCCACUUAACACUUACCCUCCCCUCCAAACUUUAGAACUUCCCUUAUGUAGACAGUCUGCUGGAGGGGCAACCUGAGAUCACAGUGUAACACCAAAGCUGAUUAAAUAGACAACAGAAGAGUAAAAGCCCAAUUCUGCGAGUUUCUCUCCCUCCCAUCCUGCCCUUGUUCAGCUGCCAUAUACCAGAAUGUGUGUCUUCCUUAGGAAAAAGAAAAGAGAGGCAGAAAACCAAGGCUAUCCAAGGAGAACUCUUUAUUAUUAUUAUUUUUGUGGUAUGAUUUUUAUGCAGAGGCCAAUAGCCCUGACAACACAGUCCUGUUACCCUGCCCCCAGUACCCCAAAGCAAGUUAGUAACCCAUAGGUGCCUCUGCCAGGCUUUUCUGUGUCACAAAAGGCUGUUACUGUUGCCCUGCCCAGGUUGAGCUCAAGCCCUUAAUGCAGGAAGCCCUGUAAAACCAUGUUGGACCCAGCUGGCUCCCUGAGGAGCUGCCCUUCAGCUUGCAGGGGGGACAGAGUUAAAGCUACUGGUAAUGCAGUUCUGCUUCUCAGGUGCUUACUGCAUGUCAACUCUGCCUGCACCCUGCUGCUCCGAAGGUCUAAUCUCAGGCACAAGGAGAUGCUGGUGGGUGUUAGUUCUGCUAUAUUAUUUGGAGGCAGUUAAUCUUUAAUUGUGGCCUUACACUCAACUAGUAAAGGAGAAGGGAGAAUGAGAACAGGAAUUUCCUCUGCUUGAACUUCCACGUUGCUCUGAUACAGCCCAGCACCUCUGUGCUCAGUGGUGGUGGUUCCCUCAGACAGCACAGGGCUUCCUGUGACAAGAGCUAGCAGGAAAACCCCUUUGUUUUCCUUUUGCUUCCUUUCCCAUUGCUUGAGAGGAUCCCGAAUCCUGCAGGACACCUAAAGGAUAAAGCAUUAAUCUGAAAGUCGACUGGUUGGGUUGCAGCCCUGGUCAGCAAGGUGUCAGCACCCUGUCCGUGCCUCAGUUUCUCUUCUCCCCCUUGGCUUGUUUUCCCAGUGGGGCAGGGCCUGGAUUUUGCAGAGUC